AUCCGCGUGGGAGACAGUGACAGCAUAUAGGAGAAGGAAAGAAGAGAGAAACACUGAGGAGGAGAACGGAGAUAGCGAGAGUCAGAGCGAAAAACUCGUCAAAUGAAAGCUGUAAUUAGUGGUCUAUGAAGUGAAAGAGAGCUGGCCCAGGUUUAUCCCAGGUGUCCGUAAUUUAGCCCACUCAAUUUAGAGUGAGAGACCUACGUAGCGGCGGCCCACCUGUUCCCUGCCCCUCCCGUCAACAUUGAUGCAUGCGACCAUAUGGAUUUGUCAAGCUUAUUGUCUAGGCGCGGGAAAUCCCAAUUAUAGGCUACUUUUGUGAAUUCACUCACUUCGCUAUAUGGAAGAAGGCUACCUUUGUGCCACAGCUGUCAAAAUCAAUUCAAGUGUGACCACCUCAUUUGCUCUUUUAGAAACGUUUAGAACUCGAUUAUAUCAUACAGGCCUAAAUGCUAAGAAAAUAGAUGUGAUAGAGAGAGUGACUAAUUAGUCCUAGUUUAAAUAUCCCAUAGCAGCAUAAUCAUUACAGUAAGUGACGCACCAGCCUAUGUGUGCGCAACAACCUGCGCAUAUUUCUCGCACUUGUUGUUUGCGCUUUGAAACCUUGGCAACCCAACUGGUGAGUGUAUACUCCAAGCCUGGGUUGGAUCAAAACAAGGUUUAUCUUCAGUCACUGUUUACAGCUCAAUAUUUUUUUUUUUUACCGACAUAUGAAACUCAAUGGCAGGGACAGAUGAUACUGACCCACAGUUUCAGCAGUGGAACCAGGACGCACAGAAUGUGCAGAUAAUUCAACAGCCUGCUUCCCAGCAGCCCACAACCAUCCUCCAGCAGCUCCCUGCUGCUGUGUCAUCUCCCACUCACUCCAUCCGGCCAGGACACGUUAAGCAGGGUGCCAGCUGGACCUAAGGGCCAGAGCUCAACCAUCUAUAAUGGCGGUCAAGGCUCUUUAUGGCACUCCUUCUCCCCCUCUAGCCUCAUUGUCUGUCUGUUGGUCGCUCAGGCCAGGGCAGUGAUUGUUUGCUCUGACUGACAUCCUUCUGGCUGACCUUUCUGCUCUUCUUACUUUCAACUCACUUAUAUUGAGACCUGGUGGAGCUGAUGAUGAUCCAAAAUGCUCAGAUGCACCAGGUCAUCAUGAACAACAUGACCAUGUCAGCCCUCAGCUCAUUUGGCCAUUCCCAGUUCCACCCUCCGUCUACCUCUGAGGAGGAGGAUCCAGAGGUGUACCACUACCAUUACCAGCCUACCUGCCCUACCCAACCUGGUUGCCUCCACCCCUGCCUCACCCUAGCCUGGUCUACCGCAACACCCCUGAACCCCUAGAGCUAGCACCCUCACCACACAGAGACACCACCAGGAGGGCGGUCCCACCUCCUCCCCCACCCAGCGCUACCAGGACUGUGGGGGCUGACGUCCCUCCAGCAACAGAUUACUAUGAUGCUGCGGAGAGAAGACAGUGACAAGAAGAGCAGAAAUCUACAGCAUCCAUUCAUCGUUAGCCUUGUUUUUACAAGAUGGAAUCAUUCUAAACGUGUCACAGUAAACAGAACUACAUUUCAUUUCUCCAUGUUUUAAUGUGUGUCUUUUUAGAUUUGUUAUUUCAAGUAAAGAAAAGGCCAAGAUCAUCAUUGUUCAGCAUUGUUCAAUGUUUUUAAGCUCACUUCCAGACUUGUACUGUAGCUCAGUUGGUAGAGCAUGGCACUUCUAACACUAGGGUUGUGGGUUUGAAUCCCGACACCAACCAUACAUAAAAUGUAUGACCAUAAGUCGCUUUGGAUAUAUGCCUGCUAAAUGACAUAUAUUAUAGUCGUUUUGGCCUUAUUUUUUACAUGCAUUACACAAAAUACCCAGCAGGGUGCAGCAUCAUCUAUGUAAUGACAAAGUCAGAGGGCGCUUUUCUGUGAUUGUGAGUUAGUUUUUAGCAGGUUGACAUUUAUUGUCACGAAUCUUGAUCUGGAGGCAGCUCUGCAGAGAGGUCACAAGCUAACACAGACAAAGUCAUAAAAUCAGUUUUUAAACCUAACAUUAACCACACUGCUAACCCUAAUGCCUAGCCUUAAAUUAAGACCAGAAAGCUAAUUUUUGUAUUCAUACAUGUUUGCGAUUUAGACAAUUUUGACUUUGCAACUGGCCCAUCUUGCGGAAAUUGCUCAGUUUUGCCUACAGAGCAAGAUUCAUGACAAUAAAUGUCAAGCUGCUUGUUUAUAUUAAUGUCUAUCAGCAUGUCACUUGUUAUUUCAGUGAGUUUCUGGCAAGUUCAUAUGUACACUACAUGACCAAAAGUAUGUGGACAU